AUUGAACGCUGGCGGCAAGCCUAACACAUGCAAGUCGAACGAGUGGCGGACGGGUGAGUAAUGUCUGGGAAACUGCCUGAUGGAGGGGGCUCACUACUGGAAACGGUAGCUAAUAACGCAUACCAUCGGAUGUGCCCAUAUGGGAUGAGAUAGUAGGUGGGGUAAAGGCUCACCUAGGCGACGAUCCCUAGCUGGUCUUAGAGGAUGACCAGCCACACUGGAACUGAGACACGGUCCAGACUCCUACGUGAGUCAGCAUUGGGGAAUAUUGCACAAUGGGCGCAAGCCUGAUGCAGCCAUGCCGCGUGGAUGAAGAAGGCCUUCGGGUUGUAAAGUACUUUCAGCGGGGAGGCGUUACCCGCAGAAGAAGCACCGGCUAACUCCGUGCCAGCAGCCGCGGUAAUAC
rnacentral:rRNA from 1 species